CAUUUCUCUAAUAGUUCUUGCCUUUGAUAAGGCACAGGAUUGGGAUGUAUUGGCAGCGAGCAAAAAGAGGAACUGCAGACUGCAACUGGUGGAACUGCAACCAGUGUGCGGCCCCCUAUUUGAAGGAAUGGAAAGAGAAAGCCUAACUCUCCUGUUAGGUAUAGGGUCUGAUCUGCGCAGCCUGAUGGGAACCAGAGAGUUCUGGAACGCAGCUCCUUUCAUAGCCCUUGGCUCCUCUGCACGCCCCAAAUAAACACAGAUUGUCAGUAGUGGUUUCAGAUGAAUCCCCCUGCAAAUGCUGGCAUAGCAGGCUGGGGCAGCCACGAGUCUUACCCUCCAGGGAGGGAGUCCAGAGCGGGACUGCCACGCAGAGAUGUAGUUGAAGAGGGGAAGGGGUGGGGGUCUAUGAAAGCCAAUCGCAGAGUCCUGUGGUUUGGCAGUUGGCCUGGGAGCCCUGGAGCCUUCUGGGAAAAAGCCAGGAGGGGAGGACAGAGUGAGGGAGAGAGGGUGGGGGAACUGCUUCUCAAGGUUGGGCUGGCUGCUGCGCCUGUCAGGGCCAGAAUUGUCAGCUCUUUUCUGGAGUGACUUACUACAUACAGAGAGGAGGAAAAUGAACUAAGGUGCACUGGGCAAGUCACGGUCAGGAUUUCCCUCCAAUCUCACGAUAGUCCUACGAGGCAGAUUUUCAUCACCAUUUCUCAGAUGGGGAAACUGAGGCCCCACAGGAAAGUGCUACCUCCAACGGAAUUAUUCCCGUCAGUGGUUCCCAACUGGGAUGUGGUGGAGAGGUGCUUCUAAUUCCUCCUGCCGGCACAGUAAUUAUGAAAGUAGAUCAAUCUUCCUGUCUCUCAACUUCUCAACCUAGUUCCCUUCCAAGUUCUUAUCAUAUGAAGUCAACACAACAAUAUUAGUAAUAUGAACAAUGCAUAUUCACAUGCAAAAUCGGUGAAGUCCAGUGGUACCAUGGAGCAUGUGCAGGAGCAGAGGAGAUAGCUACAAUAAAAAUGUUUACUGCCAUUUCUUGCUGUCCAUUUGUGUAUAGUGUUCAUAAAAUUCCAUGAGCACAGGAUUCUGAUGAAUCUACAAUGCAUGGGAGCUCAGAGGGGACUCAAAUCAAGUACAAUAAAGCAUUUCCAUUUUGCCUGGCUCUGGGAACAAAGCCAAUGUCUGCUUUAGAGGAACAGAGAUUUCCACAUGGUGAAUGGAAAAAAGGACACAGAUCCAGGAUUCAGAAAGGAAAUGAGGACAGAGACUGACACUCUCUAAAUACACAAAGGCAGAAGACAUUUUCUCAGUUUUCUAGAGUGUGCCAUGAAGAAAAUUUCUCAAGAUGAAAUGUAAAUGAUGUGUAUUUUUAAAUCCCUGAUGUAUCUGAAAAAAACAACUGAUUGUGUAUGACAUCCUCACACUUCAACCGUUUUGUACAAACUGUGAACUUAGGCCUAGUGUGAUCCGGCUUUAAAGCAUUAAAGAUAAUUUUGCUGUGGACAUCAAUAAAGCCUUAUGUUUUGUUUCGUU